GUGUGUGUGUGUGUGUGUGAUGUUCUGAUGAAUAUGAUAGACUUCUCUCUAUCAUAUUCAUCAGAACAUCAUGAUCUGGAAG